GACGAACGCUGGCGGCGUGCCUAAUACAUGCAAGUAGAACGCUGAAGGAGGAGCUUGCUCUUCUGGAUGAGUUGCGAACGGGUGAGUAACGCGUAGGUAACCUGCCUGGUAGCGGGGGAUAACUAUUGGAAACGAUAGCUAAUACCGCAUAAGAGUAGAUGUUGCAUGACAUUUACUUAAAAGUUGCAAUUGCAUCACUACCAGAUGGACCUGCGUUGUAUUAGCUAGUUGGUGGGGUAACGGCUUACCAAGGCGACGAUACAUAGCCGACCUGAGAGGGUGAUCGGCCACACUGGGACUGAGACACGGCCCAGACUCCUACGGGAGGCAGCAGUAGGGAAGCUUCGGCAAUGGACGGAAGUCUGACCGAGCAACGCCGCGUGAGGGAAGAAGGUUUUCGGAUCGUAAAGCUCGGUUGUAAGAGAAGAACGAGUGUGAGAGUGGAAAGUUCACACUGUGACGGUAUCUUACCAGAAAGGGACGGCUAACUACGUG
rnacentral:rRNA from 1 species